rnacentral:misc_RNA from 1 species
UACGUAGGUGGCGAACGUUAUCCGGAAUUACUGGGCGUAAAGGGUCCGCAGGCGGACGAGACAGUCUGGCGUGAAAGCUACCGGCUCAACUGGUAGAAGCCGUUGGAAACUACUCGUCUUGAAUCCGAUAGAGGUCGGUGGAAUUCCCGGUGUAGUGGUGGAAUGCGUAGAGAUCGGGAGGAACACCAAAAGCGAAGGCAGCCGGCUAGAUCAGGAUUGACGCUGAGGGACGAAAGCGUGGGGAGCAAACAGG